rnacentral:rRNA from 1 species
ACUACGGGUGGCAGCAGUGGGGGAUAUUGCACAAUGGGGGAAACCCUGAUGCAGCGACGCCGCGUGUGGGAAGACGGUCCUCUGGAUUGUAAACCACUGUCCCCAGGGACGAAGAUGACGGUACCUGGGGAGGAAGCUCCGGCUAACUACGUGCCAGCAGCCGCGGUAAUACGUAGGGAGCGAGCGUUUUCCGGAAUUACUGGGUGUAAAGGGAGCGUAGGCGGGACUGCAAGUUGGGGGUCAAAUCUACCGGCUCAACCGGUGGCCGCACUCAAAACUGCAGUUCUUGAGUGAAGUAGAGGCAGGCGGAAUUCCUAGUGUAGCGGUGAAAUGCGUAGAUAUUAGGAGGAACACCAGUGGCGAAGGCGGCCUGCUGGGCUUUUACUGACGCUGAGGCUCGAAAGUGUGGGGAGCAAACAGGAUUAGAUACCCUAGUAGUC